CCACCAACAGAUCUAUCCUUCAUUAGUUUAUGUAGUCUAUUUUGUAAUUGUUCGUAUUUGUGGCCCGUACAGCAUCAUCCAGCAUUGAGUUCCAUUGUGUAUUACUACACAGUACUUUUGCUUAUUUGUUCUAGACUUGCUGCCUCAUUGCUUCAUUGUGUUUGCCCUUUCAUUCUAAGCUCACAUCAAAUUGUAUUUACUAGCUUCACCUUCUUUUUUUAAGCUCCUUUUUGAAGUCUAAGUAGCCUGAACUGAGUGAAGACAGACAGAUGAGAUUGUAUAAUGAAUUUGUAUUAUUUUUGUUAUGGUUUCUGUCUGCACUUAGAGUAAAACAACUGGUAUUCUUACUGCAGCUGAACAUAAAGCAGGUCUUUUCACUGAGGUGUUCCUUUAUCCCAGGACUUCAGAUUCAUAGCACCUGAUGGUCUUUAUUGACGUGAGGAGAAAGAGGAAGGAAGUACAAGUGGGUUGGUGUUUUUACAGUGGGAGAAUAGGAACACAGAGGUGGUCUAGCUUUGCUAUCGGUGGGAAGUAGGUGCUUGCCUACUAAUUUCUUUUCUCCCUGAAAGUCUACGUUUGGCUAAUUCUUAUCUCUGACAGCAUUUGAACACCUAGAUGCCUAAAGAGUCUGAUGCUGGGAAGUUGCAGCCUGAGACUGAGGAGUGAUUAAUCACAGAUGGGGUUCUCGGUCUUGGUGCAUUUGGGGCCUGGAUGCUACCACAGAGUUGUCAGGAAUAUCAUGUUUGGGAACUCCAGGGUCACAGCUAUCCAAGAAAGUGCUUGCAGCCCUUCUGUUCCCAGUGCGUCUGUACCUGACUUCAUAUACGGCACCCUGAGAAGGAAAGAACUAUUAGAUUCCUGCUGGAAACAAGGCUUGAAAUGACUUGUAAGAGGACCAAACAAGAGCACAAAAACCUCUCCUGAUUGCCAUGACCUUUGAAAGAUAAUCAAGAGUGGCCUCACAGUGACAUCAGCCAGCUCCCUCAGUACUCACAGGUGCAGGCCAUCAGGCUGUAGUCUACAGCAUCAUCUGAGGGAGAGUCCUGUAUCCUGGCUGUUCCCGACACUUGUGCCUCGAUCGGUACUGCUGGCUGCCAGCCUUCAGCAAGGUGAAGAUGCUAUGAGGACAGCAGAGGACAGCCUUAUAUAUGGUUAAUCGGCUUACUCAUCCUGAUACCACAGGAGACCUAAUACCAUUUGUCACAGGACUAACAUGAACCAAGGCUUUUGAAGUCUAUUAAGUCAUGCAUCCCAAAUGAACUAUUUUUGAAGGAUUUGUUUAAAUCGGAGCACGAAAGCCUGAGGGGAAAACCCUCAGCUGCUUUAGAUUUCUGAGGCAAAUCGGUGGCGUCACCUUUCUGCUCAUCUCUAAUGUCUGAGAUCACGAAAAACCACAAACAAGCAACCCGAUUCCUGCACAGCCCGUGCCCCGGCCCGUUUCGGCAGGCCGUGCCCCGCUCCCUCCCGCCGCGGUCCCGGGAAGAGUUCCCUCUGGCGGUCAGAGCGCACCGCUGCAAACGGCGGGCGGGAUCCAGCUGGAGCGGGGCGGGGGGGGGCACAGCGCGGAGGGUCGCGUCCCGGAACGGGGCCAGAGUUUUGCAGCAGACGCGGGGACGUCUGUCUCAGCCGUUAGAGCAAAGCCGCGCACUCGGACAGUGCUGAUAAGAAUCUGUUUCUCGCUCCUCAUAGUACUGAAAAGGCUGCUUAAAUUUAAGUGCUUUGUCAUUUUAAAUUAUGAGUGCAUUUGUAUCCGUUCCCUCUGUGCCCCCAUCUAAAAGUGAUAGACUUUUAUUGUAAUGAAUGUAACUGCACAGGAAGCAAAAUUAAUGAUAAAUAAGUUUAAAAUAGCUGCAUAAUGUCCUGCAGAACGGUACAUAAAAAUAUCACAGCUUUUUAAAGCAGAUGGCUUGGUUCUGGGUGGGUGAGAGGGAAGAAACAACUUUACAGCAUUUCUUCAAAAAGCUGGAAUACCCCCUCUUGUUUCUAACUCUUCAGGCUUAUAGAAUAAUAGAACAUAAUAAAUAGAGAAUGACGAAAGUCAAGAAUAAUAAAACUUUUUAAAGGGACAUCUAUGUAAACUUGUUUUACAGUCUGGAGUAUUAAAAACAGUACCCAGGGGAAAUAGAGGAGGGAACAGAAUGAGGUAACCGGAGGUUUGGGAUAAAGACAAUCAUCAAAGACAUGUAUUUGAACAACUAGUGAGAGACCUAGAGAAAUGGUGAUUGCUGCUGUUAUUAUUACACAUUCAGGCAAAAACAACGUCUUUGAAAGAAAAUGACUGAAUUUUGCCAAAAGUCAAUGGGCAUUCCAGACACAAGGAAACUAUGUUUGUGGAUAAAGUCAAAAGUGGAUCUAAUCAAAACAAAAUUUAUAUUAGAACACUAGACAAAUUACAAAGAUAGGAAAGUUGGUUAACUUUCCUUGCAUUCAGAGUUGGACUCAGUUAUACCCAGUGCCAAUAGUAACAGUGGCCACUUUACUUUUAGUCACAGUACAGGUUGGCAAGACCUGGAAGUAAGCUGCACUCAUGAAAGCAGCACUUAAUGAAAAAUACUGAGAGACAAAGCUGUAACUGUGUGGAAACCUAUGUUGUAAAGGCACCAUGGUGUUUUUAUUAGCACAAUAACACAACAGAUCAGUUUUAAUGAAAAAAACAGUUAAAAAAAUUAAAUAUUGGAAGUUACACUGGAGAUGAAUAUAAAAUAGUUUGUAUCAGCUUCUACUAAGAAAGCAAGCAAACCAAACCCCAGGAUUCAUCCCGGCUAAUUUUCAACUGUCAAAAAGAUUACCUAUGGCUGCAGAAAAAAUUAUGCAGAAUCUUUCUGUAGUCAUCUGUGAGACACGUUUACAGGGAGGGAUCCAGCUCAUUCAGGGCAGGUAUAUAAAUGAGUGUCGUGGUUUAACCCCAGCCGGUAACUAAGCACCAUGCAGCCACUCACUCACUCCCCCCCACCCAGUGGGAUGGGGGAGAGAAUGGGGAAAAAAAAAAAAGGUUAAACUCGUGGGUUGAGAUAAGAACAGUUUAAUAAGAGAGAAAGGAAGAAAAUAAUAAUGAUAAUAAUAACAACAAUAAAGUGACAAUAAUAAUAAUAAAAGGAUUGGAAUAUACUAAACAAGUGAUGCACAAUGCAAUUGCUCACCACCCGCCAACUGGUGGCCAGUUAGUUCCUGAGCUGUCUCCCCCCGCCAACUCCCCCCAGUUUAUAUACUAGGCAUGACAUCACAUGGUAUGGAAUAACCCUUUGGCCUGUUUGGGUCAGCUUUCCCAGCUGUGUCCCCUCC